rnacentral:rRNA from 1 species
CCUACGAGAGGCAGCAGUGGGGAAUAUUGGACAAUGGGCGCAAGCCUGAUCCAGCCAUACCGCGUGUGUGAAGAAGGCCUUUUGGUUGUAAAGCACUUUAAGCGAGGAGGAGGCUCUUGAGGAUAAUACCCUUGAUGAGUGGACGUUACUCGCAGAAUAAGCACCGGCUAACUCUGUGCCAGCAGCCGCGGUAAUACAGAGGGUGCGAGCGUUAAUCGGAAUUACUGGGCGUAAAGCGCGCGUAGGCGGCUUGUUAAGUCGGAUGUGAAAUCCCCGGGCUCAACCUGGGCACUGCAUUCGAUACUGGCAAGCUAGAGUAUGGGAGAGGAAGGUAGAAUUCCAGGUGUAGCGGUGAAAUGCGUAGAGAUCUGGAGGAAUACCGAUGGCGAAGGCAGCCUUCUGGCCUAAUACUGACGCUGGAGUGACGAAGACAGUGGGAGGACGAACGAGAGUAGUACUACCGUACGUAGUACAUGACGUAACG